UUGGUUAUUUUCUUCUUUUUCUUCUAGUUCUUCUUCUAAAUGCAAUUUUUCUUUAAAUUUAUUUAUCUCAUUUGCUAAUUUUGUUUUUUGUUCUUUUUCUUUUUGUUUAAUUUCAUACAUUUCUUUUAAUAUUGCCAGCUCUUUUUCUAGUUCUAUUAUUUUAGUAUUUUUUACUUCUUCUAAUUGUUGUACUUCCUUUUUUUGCUUGUUGUUUUAUUUUUUCAAUUUCCAUUUUUCUAUCUAUUUCUUCAUUUUCUUUUGUUAUUCUUAUCAUAGCAGUUAAACUAUCUUCUAGUUUUACCGUUUCUUUUCUAACAUUAAACUUAGAUUGUCACCUAUUUUCUUAUAUCUUCUUCCUAGAUUAGAAAAUAUUAUCUUUUAUUUUUAAUCCGUCAUAGUUUUCAUAUGUUUUUUCAUCUAUUGCGUAUUCUUCUUUAUUCAUUUAUAAAUUGUGUUGUAGUUUAUAUUCUAAGUUUCCUAUUUGUAUUUGUAGAUAUAAAAUAGUUUUUCUCUGUGCUACUAUAGAUUUUUUACAAUUUUCUGCAGAUAUAUUACUGUUAAGUCUAUU
rnacentral:lncRNA from 1 species